GCCCUAGUAGCUCAGUAUC
rnacentral:tRNA from 1 species